GGGUUUAUUAUCACAAACUGCAGCAGUUACUGGCUUUUACAAGAUUACGGAGACGAAGAUAAUGACAACAACGCAUUUAUGAUUGUUAAACCGACGUAGGUCCUGCGCCAUGGAAUAGAAAAGAAGAGUUUUAAGGAUUUCCGAAAGUAUAGUAGCUAUAGAUUCCUGCAAGUACUUUGGUAUUCAAUCAUUAGAAUGUAGACGUAAACAAUACGACCUUAUGUUUUUACACGCUAUUUGCAACGGUUUAAUUGACUGACCUGACUUAUUGUCGCUUUUACUAUUUCACACCCCUUCUUCAUACAAUACAAGGCAAACCCAACUAUUUAAAAUUCCUCGGUCUAAUACAAACUA